CACAACGUUGCCUCAACGUAGCGACCUUCCUACAACGUUGUACCAACAUUGCAAAAAGGUUGAGGAUUCUACGUUGUUUCUAAAGGUUGUCACAACGAUGUCAUAAGGUUGCCAUUUAAACAUCAUGAGGGUCGCAUGCUUUAGGUUGUGCUUAGGUGGCGUGGACGACCACUGUACAACAUUUACUGGUCACAGCUGAAUCAGUUUAAAUUUCAACAAGCCGUCGUCUCAUUCAUCAACGACCGAGGAGACGCUAUUUUUACAUGGAGAAUGUUUUCAGCUGUUGAAUUCACCUCAGAUCAGUGUUGCUGUAAUUCCUGAUGGAAAGAAGAAUUGAAUGAGCGAGCAACGCCACAACUACAGGACCUCUUCUUUCUCUUCUCAUAAUUUAAGUAACUGGAUUAUCCGUUGAAUUUGUUUCUUCCUCUGACUGCUUUCUCCAUACCAACAACUACGACUGGUCUUCAGCUGCGCUCCCCGGUCUGCUGUAUUCUCCAGUCCAGAGCUUCACUGACCAGUGUUUGAAUUUUAAUUUAUAUAUUUAUUUAUAUAUUUAUUUACAUUUUAAUGAUUUCUUGUUUACUUUUCUUGUUUGUUUACCCUUUAGUUUAAAUAUAUAUAUAUAUAUAUAUAUAUAUAUAUAUAUAUAUAUAUAUAUAUAU